GCCCGGCUAAUUUUUUUGUAUUUUUAAUAGAGACGGGGUUUCACUGCGUUAGCCGGGAUGGUCUCGAUCUCCUGACCUUGUGAUCCACCCAUCUCGGCCUCCCGCCCAACUUUUUUUAGGUGUUUCUUCUCCAUAUGAAAUCAUGAUGUGAGGACAUCGACAUGCCUUCUUCUGGGGGCACAAUGCUUUUGUCUUUAAAGUUUUCUUUGUGCAGUUCCACUUCUGGAUAUAGUAUUGAAAGGAGGGACAGAUAUUUGUACCCCCAAGUCCACGGCAGCAUUAUCCACAAUAGCCAAAAGGCGGAAACAACCAAGUGUCCAUCACAGAUGAAUGGAUGAACAAAACGUGCUACAUGCACACACACACACACACACGCACGCAUGCACCUGCACACGCACACACACACAUGCACCUGCACAUGCACACACAAUGGAAUAGUAUUCAGCCUUCAAGAGGAAUGAAAUUUUGACACAUGCUACAACAUGGAUGAAACUUGAGGACAUUGUGCUAAGUGAAACAAGCCCGUCACACAAGAACCCUGCGUGACUCCACGUAUGCAAGCUGGAGGCCUCUUGCUGACAGGGUAGCGUUUCCCAAAGACACGGGAGCUGAGCUGGUGAGUCAUUUCAACAGCCCUUACACUCUCCUCUGACCAGAGACCACAUGACAUAUUAAUCAGCUGCUUGAAAGGUAUACCUGGCAGGCAUGUUUCCUGCAGCCUGGAAGAUGCUGACCUCGUCAGCUUUGAAACAUCAAAGGGCUAACAAGAGAACAACAGGCUGAGAAAGACCUCAUCACCUGGGUGCCUGUUGACCGCAGCCUUGUAAGGCCCAACACAGCUGAGAUGUGCUGUCUGGAGCUCGGAGGAAGUGGAGCUUUUUCUGCUGUGAGGACCCGCCUUCAGCCCCCUUUUGGGGCACAGGAAGGGGAGGGAGUGAGCCUAAAUUGUGGCCCCAUGCUUAGUGACUCAGAUGUUACUGCUACCACAAAGGGAAAUUCAUGUGGGGGUGGACAUCUCCAGAGACCUCACUCACCUGUGAUUUGGGGGAUAAUAGCAUCACUCAUGUGUUCACGUGCCAGGCCUGUCACCCCGGAACAUUAGUCAAAGGGCUGUGUUGACAGUGAUUUCAACUCUUGAAUUAUACGAAGGACCUGGCCGCAAGAAGGCAUUGAGCCCCGAGGAGGACAACAGGCCUCAGCUCUUGGCACCAAGUAACUAUGAAGACUCUGAGAACUGGACCAUCCCAAGGCUGUAGCUUUCUUCAAGCCUGGCAGGCUCUGUCGUGGUGAAGAGUCUGAAGGCUUUUUCUUUUCCAGAUGUAAUUAUUAACCAACAUUCACAUCAGAUUCACAAUUGGAAACCCAGCUGUUAAACAUUUACCAGCACACUACUGGAAAGAAGUGCAUAUGGACUACUCGCUUGGGAUUCCAGAAGAAAGAACGUUAUAGAACACCUACAACUUGGCAAUCAGGGGCCUGAGGUACAGCUGAAGUACAGCUGUGGAAGAGGAGAUGCUAAUUCCUGGAGAGAGAGCAACACAGAUUUUACAGUCAGCAGCCAGAGACUACCCUCAGAACAGGAAUGUGAAAAAUAAACCAGAUAUGCUGAACUGGAUACCAACAAGGUUAAAUGGUGGAAAAGCCAUAAUCACUUCUAAAUUCAAGGGUAGGAUUAAUACUGUAUUUUCACAGUACCUGAAAGUUCUGUGGCCUUUCCUAGACACCAGUUCAUGUGAUCACCAGAACAGAACUGAGGUUGAGGGGAAAGUUAGCUAUCAGCAUUGGGCCCAUUUUACAGAUGGGAAACUGAGGCAGUGGAAGGUAAAGUAGUUUGCCCAAGGUUACUGUUUCUGCAUAAAUGGCUGCCCUGGGACUAGAUGGGAACAGAACUACCACAGACUUGUGGGUCAGACAUACUUUGGUUAAAAACUCAACCUUGACAUUUAUGUAAUGUUGGUAAUGUUACUUUACCUUUUUAAGCCUGGGGUUUUUUGUUUGUUUGUUUGUUUGUUUGUUUGUUUAAACUUACAAAAUGGGGAGGAUAAAGCCUAGAUCAUAAGUUUGCAGUGAGGGUUAGUUUAAGGAGAUGAUAGGUGCAAAGGACCUGGUGCUCGGGAAGCCUUUGCACCUCCCACCGUGUACUUACAUUACUUACAUUUGAUUUUGAAAUAUAGUAUAAGACUGCUUUGGCUAACAUAUUUACUUUUCUAAUUAUAUUUGUUGGGUUUAGGUUAAUUACUCUGCAUGGCCUUAGGCCAGACCAAUUUGAGGGGGUGGGGGCAGGGGCAGGGAGGAGGGAGAAGGGAGAAGGGAAGAGGUGGGUCAGAAGAGGAAAUCUGGUUAUGAUUCCUGUGAAGGUGGAGGUGGAGCUGGAGCAUCUGGGCAGGGGAAGAAUUAAAAUUUCGUAAAGGGCUCCUUCACUCACUGAUAAUUGGAGAUAAUCUGUAUACACUAUCAUGUUCAACAAGGCCAUUUCAUGCCACAGAAGCUAGAGUUCCAGAUGGACUGCCUCUGCCUAGACCUAGGGCUCCAUAUCACCACCAGCAGAAAUGAGAAGGCUUGGAGACCUCUGUGCCCCUGAAACCCUCACGGCCUCACCAGCACUCUCUGCCUUGGAACAAGACCCAUCCCCAUGAAAAGCUGAGGCCUCAGGUCAUCCCUCAGCUGCCAGGGCAGGGAGGCAGCCACCCCCCUACUUCCC
rnacentral:lncRNA from 10 species